rnacentral:rRNA from 1 species
UACGUAGGGGGCAAGCGUUGUCCGGAAUCAUUGGGCGUAAAGCGCGCGUAGGCGGCCCGGUAAGUCCGCUGUAAAAGUCCAGGGCUCAACCCUGGAAAGCCGGUGGAUACUGUCGGGCUAGAGUCCGGAAGAGGCGAGUGGAAUUCCUGGUGUAGCGGUGAAAUGCGCAGAUAUCGGGAGGAACACCUAUGGCGAAGGCAGCUCGCUGGGACGUUACUGACGCUGAGACGCGAAAGCGUGGGGAGCAAACAGG